rnacentral:rRNA from 1 species
CCUACGGGUGGCAGCAGUGGGGAAUAUUGCGCAAUGGGCGAAAGCCUGACGCAGCGACGCCGCGUGAGGGAUGAAGGUCUUCGGAUCGUAAACCUCUGUCAGCAGGGAAGAACGGUCACUGUGCUAAUCAGCAGUGAAUUGACGGUACCUGCAAAGGAAGCACCGGCUAACUCCGUGCCAGCAGCCGCGGUAAUACGGAGGGUGCGAGCGUUAAUCGGAAUUACUGGGCGUAAAGCGCUCGUAGGCGGUAUGUCAAGUCAAGGGUGAAAUCCCCGCGCUCAACGUGGGCACUGCCUUUGAAACUGGCAAACUGGAGUGGGUGAGAGGUAAGGGGAAUUCCUGGUGUAGGGGUGAAAUGCGGAGAUAGCAGGAGGAACAUCAGUGGCGAAGGCGACUAUCUGGCACAUAACUGACGCUGAGGAGCGAAAGCGUGGGUAGCAAACAGGAUUAGAUACCCCAGUAGUC